ensembl:lncRNA
UAGAUUGGAAGUGAUUGCCAAACGAGCCGUACUUCUGAAGGAAAACCAGCAGACCAAAGGGGGCAUUGAGACAGCAGCUCUGGGAGGAACCGGUGCUUUGCAGAGGCCAGGGCCUGCCGCCACAAGGGACUCAGUGCUGUCCUGAAGACCAGCCUGCUAGCCUGGGCCUGGCCAUCUUAACAUCAGCCUGUGGUUUCCUGGGUGGAGCUGGCCUGCUAGAAAUACAGGUAAAUGAAAGCCUUUUGUUCCAAGUAAAGUCUUCUUCACAGUCAUUUAUAAUCUUUUAAUAUGAUGAGGACACUAGACAUUCUGAAGCGAUGAGGAAUUCUACUGAGUGCAGAAGAUGAGAUGAAAGAGAAAUUGAGAUUGCAGGUCCAGCAUCUUCCCUCCUCAGUUCAAUCUGUGAAUGCAGAUUUCUGCAGGUGUUGGCACAGGUGAGAACAGCUGUGAGAUGGAGGAACAGAAGCUGGCAUCCUCUGUUCUCUUCAACAACUAUACUAAGUCUGUUUUGUUGAUUGUGGGCAUGAAGGAGCACACAGGCUGUAGGUUCAGCAGAUAUGGUCUGCAUAUUCAAAGUGUAAGCAACCAAAAAGAUGAGGGUUUAGGCACUAUUCCCUUACUUGGGCAUCCAUACUAAUAUCCUUUCUACUAAGUUUCAAAAGGUCCCUGGCUGGCUGUGAUUGCAGUUACUGGCUCAUAUAUUAUACUGUAAGGAUGCACCAUUGGAUAGCAAUGCUGGUAAAUAAGCACUUUGCUUAUUGGAGGACACAGAGGAAGAUCAACAGAUUUUCUAUUUGGGUUACAAAUCCUAUGCCGAAAUAGUGUUAUCUAUUCAGAUCUUGUAUGUGUAUUGGAAUUGUGUGAUAUUUGUUAAGCACCUAAAUAACAUAGUUCUGCAUUACAACAUAGUCUAAUUCUGAGUCAGUUUCACUCACGUGUACAUCAUAGCACAGAAGAUGGAGUGACUUAAAAUAUUUAUAGUAUUGUGCUGUAACAUAUCUUAAUGCAAUCCCUGCAUUUACAUUUCAUUUAGCUGUUAUCCUGCCCUUAGGGAAAUCUCUUUUGCCUAAGAAUGCACAUCCUCUGUAACAAAAAGGAUCAUAAAAACAACAACAACAAAAAAGAACAGUAGCAAUAUUCAUAGAAGGAAGAAAUACUUCAAAAUUCACCAUUUUAUGAUGGGGAACUUCAGAAGAUGAAUGGCAGUUUUCCAGUGGCCUGGGAAAAGCAAACCAAAAUAAACUCCAGGGAAAUAAAUGAUUCUGAUAGAGUCAUGGUUAAAAAUGAGGAGAGCUUUGCCCCAAAUUGAAGUUCAGCAGAAACUCAAAGCCCCAUGACUUGAAAGCAAAUCAAAAGUGGAAGAAUGGUCUUUUGAUCAAGGCACUGACCUGAGAGCAAGUACAGGUUCAUGUCUUUGCUCUGCUGCAGACUUCCUGUCUUUGUAUCUGCUGUCUCUGUGCUGCUGUGCUUUCUUUUUUUUAUGUAGUGAGACUGAUAACAUCUAAAUUGCACGCUGCCUCAGAUGGGGCUAUCUUUGACUCUGCUGAGAAGUGAAUAGUUCAGUGAGGGCUCACUGGUAUGGUAUCAUGGUGCCAUGGCAAUGCUGAACACAUUGGCAGAAACACUUCUCAGUCAAAAUGUUUCUGAUUUUGACAUGUUUUUUUUUUUGCAAUGAUGUGUCACAGUUUCACUUCACAAUGCAACUUCUCAGCAAGUUUCUAAACCGAAGAUUUUUGCAUUGGAAAGAUCUAAGUGAAGUGAGUUAAAAUGGUUCAUGAAAAUGUAUCGACCUCCUCAUAUUCUAAGGUGUGUUGUGAAAACAGUUCGCUGUGGGUGGGACAGAAAGAUUUCCUUCAAAUUUACCAGUCUCUUUUGCACCCUUGCAAAGAAAUGUGAGCCUUAGUAAAUCUAAAUAUUUUAGAAUAUGUUGCUUCAUGAACAACGGAGGGAUUUUUGACAUUUUGCUUUGACAUGUGGUUAAAAAAACUGUAUAAAGUCUAUGAAUUUCUUCUCCAACAUAUGUUCCAUGUUUUAAGCAGCAUUACUGCACAAUGUCCACCGAGAUCACCAUUUUAAUAAAAAUGUCUUCCAAGCU